AUGCACGUGGCCAUGGUCAGCAGCGGCGCAGAGCACCGCCCCAUCAAGGUAGCAGUCCCCCUUGAACUUGGACGGAACGGCCAGGCAGAGCUUCUUGCCGGUGAUGGGAGCAAUUACAAUAAGCUCUGCCCGCUGCCAGGGCAAGAUGAAGAGGCGACCGUGGCGGCACCCGAGCAGUUGGACCCCCGUGGCACGGCCACUGUCAAUGCCGUGGAGUCGCAUGUCGAAGCGCUGAGGAGGAAUGCGGUUGGGAGGGUCCAUGACGGAUUUGAACACGAUACCAUCCACGCCGUCCUCGAAGAAACCGAGGAGGGGCGGCUUCCGGUGGUGUUGACGGAAGCGUCGGUGGAACCUGGGGUCGGUGACUGCGCAUCGCCACCGCUUGCAGAUGGCGGAGGCACGGGGAAGGGAGGAGGGCUGCGGCGGGAUGCGGAGGAGGAUCUCCCACAGGAGAUGGUCGUUUUCGAGCGGCUAGGACAGCGCCGCCGGCGAGCUGCCGCGGCGGCGAGGACGACUGCGGCCGGAUGCCUCCUCACCCGCGUGGAUCUGUGGACGGAGGAGCGCGCUGCGGCAUCGAGCCACUCCUUCACCCUCGUCACUCGCGUAGACCUGGGGAUGUAG
rnacentral:rRNA from 1 species